GACGAACGCUGGCGGCGUGCUUAACACAUGCAAGUCGAACGGAAAGGCCCUGCUUUUGUGGGGUGCUCGAGUGGCGAACGGGUGAGUAACACGUGAGUAACCUGCCCUUGACUUUGGGAUAACUUCAGGAAACUGGGGCUAAUACCGGAUAGGAGCUCCUGCUGCAUGGUGGGGGUUGGAAAGUUUCGGCGGUUGGGGAUGGACCCGCGGCUUAUCAGCUUGUUGGUGGGGUAGUGGCUUACCAAGGCUUUGACGGGUAGCCGGCCUGAGAGGGUGACCGGCCACAUUGGGACUGAGAUACGGCCCAGACUCCUACGGGAGGCAGCAGUGGGGAAUAUUGCACAAUGGGCGGAAGCCUGAUGCAGCAACGCCGCGUGCGGGAUGACGGCCUUCGGGUUGUAAACCGCUUUCGCCUGUGACGAAGCGUGAGUGACGGUAAUGGGUAAAGAAGCACCGGCUAACUACGUGCCAGCAGCCGCGGUGAUACGUAGGGUGCGAGCGUUGUCCGGAUUUAUUGGGCGUAAAGGGCUCGUAGGUGGUUGAUCGCGUCGGAAGUGUAAUCUUGGGGCUUAACCCUGAGCGUGCUUUCGAUACGGGUUGACUUGAGGAAGGUAGGGGAGAAUGGAAUUCCUGGUGGAGCGGUGGAAUGCGCAGAUAUCAGGAGGAACACCAGUGGCGAAGGCGGUUCUCUGGGCCUUUCCUGACGCUGAGGAGCGAAAGCGUGGGGAGCGAACAGGCUUAGAUACCCUGGUAGUCCACGCUGUAAACGGUGGGUACUAGGUGUGGGGUCCAUUCCACGGGUUCCGUGCCGUAGCUAACGCUUUAAGUACCCCGCCUGGGGAGUACGGCCGCAAGGCUAAAACUCAAAGGAAUUGACGGGGCCCCGCACAAGCGGCGGAGCAUGCGGAUUAAUUCGAUGCAACGCGUAGAACCUUACCUGGGUUUGACAUGGAUCGGGAGUGCUCAGAGAUGGGUGUGCCUCUUUUGGGGUCGGUUCACAGGUGGUGCAUGGCUGUCGUCAGCUCGUGUCGUGAGAUGUUGGGUUAAGUCCCGCAACGAGCGCAACCCUUGUUCACUGUUGCCAGCACGUUAUGGUGGGGACUCAGUGGAGACCGCCGGGGUCAACUCGGAGGAAGGUGGGGAUGACGUCAAGUCAUCAUGCCCCUUAUGUCCAGGGCUUCACGCAUGCUACAAUGGCUGGUACAGAGAGUGGCGAGCCUGUGAGGGUGAGCGAAUCUCGGAAAGCCGGUCUCAGUUCGGAUUGGGGUCUGCAACUCGACCUCAUGAAGUCGGAGCCGCUAGUAAUCGCAGAUCAGCAACGCUGCGGUGAAUACGUUCCCGGGGCU
rnacentral:rRNA from 1 species